AUAAAGCAAAGGAUUGAUUAAAAAUAGAUAAUAUAUUUAGCUAAAUAGCUUUAGAGUUAACUGACGAACCCACUGAAAUUGCAGAACCUAAGAAAUAAAAGCCAAAAAAAAUUAACCAAAAAAUUGUGAAGAAACAAGCCUAAAAACAUAGUCUCGAAUGGUCAUCUACAUCAAUAGCGUCUUCGAUAUCUUCAUCACCACCGUCAUCGUUAUGUAAACCUAUGAAAAUAAAUAAUGAAACUGAAAAAAACGAAUUAAUGACAGUACUAACUACAUAGUUGGCUCAAAAAAAAGGAAAAAAUUAGUCCAUAAUCUACACCAUACCACCUUGAUCAUCUUCAUCAUCACCAUCAAAUAAACGUAGAAAAAUAAGAAAAAUCAACUCGAAUUUGAAGGACAUAAAUAUGCGUAUGGAAAUAGCACAUGAAGACAGUACAUUAGCAACAAUUGCUGAUAAUCCCUUUUCAUCAUCAUCAUAAAUCUGAAACAGAAGCUGAAAUGAAUAUAUUAGCAGCUAGAUCAUCAUCAACAAAAAAUACUGUAUCCAGUGAUUCUUUGCUGGAAUGUAUCAAACAUAAUUAUAACAGUCUAUCAAAACAAUUAGCGAAUUUAAAAGGCCAUAUCUGCUGACGUUACCAAAUCCUAUCUGAAAUAAAAAAAAUAACAGUACUCAGCUGUUAGAUUUCAGUUUAUUAACAGAUCCUGAAGGAAAUCCAGUGGUCCAAAAAUUAGAAUUUCCGCUAUCAACAAUGGAAGAUAUUAUUUUGAUAAAUUCAAUGAAAAAUUAAAAGGCGAAAAAUAUAAAAAUAAAAUGAAUAAACGUAUAUACUUUUCUCUUGAUGGAAAAAAUACUUUUACCCGUAAUAUGGGAAAUAUUACUCGUGUUUAUAUAACAAGAGAUGUCAUAUGUAGCAGUUAAAGCAACUUCAAAAAAAAGUUUUCAAAGAUACGACUUUUUCACUUCUAUAAAAAGUAUGUUAAUCAUUAUAUAGUGCAGAAUUACUAUCACUGAUACCUAAUUAAUUAUUUCUUAAUUAUAUGUUAAUAUUUUAUACCUAAUAAUAAUUAUUUUUUACUAUUACUAAUUUAAUUACGUACAUGAUUAAUUUAAAUUUUGUAUUUAAGCUGCAGUAAGACAGAAAUUCGAAAAUAAUCAAGAAAGUAUUUUCGAUAAUAAAUUCCAUCAAGCAUUGUCUGCAGUAUUGAAUAAUGCUAAUAUAAUAAUAAAGAUUGGGAUGGGUACAGGGUAUCCAGGAUCAAAAAACUACCAAUCUAAUGAAGAUAAAUAAAAACAACUAAUCGCU